UUAUGAAUGAAGACGCGCUAUGCAAAUGAGCACGGCCCGGGGGGAGCGCGAAAUGGCGGCGGAUGUGCGGGCGGGCGGCCGCGCACUCACGCACGCGCGCGUCCGUGUGUCCGUCCGUCCGUCCGUCUGUCCGCGGGUGGGGAGGGGGGGGAUCCCGAGAGCGGCGACGAAGGAGCGGCCCCCCUCCCCAACACACACAUACACGGAGCCCCCGCAGCCCGCCCCCGCUCACUCGUCUGGGAACAGAAGUGAAAACUUGGAGAAACUGGAUGGACUGCGUGCCAGCAGCACGGUGGAGGCGAGAGCCCCUUCAAACUGCAAGGCCUGUAUGGAGGUUACCCCGAGGAGAAACGGUGUGUCCUUCAGAAAUGGUACCAGGACCAUGGCUGUGGUCACCUCAUCGUGUUGUUUUCUUGGCUGGGGGUUCCCCUGCCUUUUUUUUCCUCUCCAAGUGCUGCUGGGUUUACACAGGCUCCCAACUUCCUCAUUAACUCCUUGCUCAAGACCUCCGCGUUCAGCUGCAGCAUCACAUGGAUACGCGGCAUUGAGCUGCUGCUUCUCGCAGAGCCACAGCAGGGGGAGAAUCGAAGCCACAUGAAGAAAACAAAGGGGGACAAUCCCAUCGCUAAAUUCCCAUCUCUAAAAGAUCACUGUAGUGCACAUCCCACUGAGCAGGGAUAUGGUAUGUGCCUUGCUGCCGGUGCUGGGAGCUUGGCAUUCCGUCCCCAAUGCUUAGGGGUAUUUAGUAUUUCACUUCCCAGUGGUGAGCAGCCACCCUUUCCCAGACGUGGCAGCUGAAGGUUUACCCGAUCUCGUAUUUUUGAGUCACUUCCUGUGGAUUUGUGAGAUCUCACAUUUGAUCUCUGCUUUCACUCGCAUGCUAAUUCGGGUGCUGCUAAGUGAUCCAUUCAUCUCACUGCGCAACCCUCUUCUGAUUGCAUAUGUGCAGUGCAUACGGACAAGAAUUGCAUGGGACAUUCAUAUUGUUCAGGUUACCACGCUGGUUCCUCUGAGCAGCGCUUGCAAAAUGACUACUUUAUUUUUCUGAAUGGAACAGCUCACCAAGGGGAGACUUUUGCUCAUGCACUGCUCAUAUACAGCCUUUCCCCGAGAUGUGAUCAUUACAGCACCUCCAGUUAAUUAGCCAUUGGUGGCAGAGCUUCAAGACUAAUGAUCUGCAUGCUGUGAAUAUUCUGCACUUUAUGUUUGAAUGGGAAGUUCCUUGUGCAGAGCGAUAUUUUAGCUGUUGUAGAGAACUAGAUGUUGAGGACAUUUGGGCAGGAAAUAGACUUCCCCACGGGCUGCCAUGCCUUCAGCUGACACCGAUUUGGGGUGAGAAGCACUAAGAUUUGGCAUAGCAGAGCUUGGAAUGCAGGCUUGCCAUUGCCUUCCCACAUUCUUGCCUUGACAACGCAUCCCUCUGGGCUGGUGACUCCCACACUGCUGGUAUAGGAACCCUUGUAUGAGCUCUGGCACCUCGGUGACCUCACUGAUUUUAGUGCCUUUUCCACUGACUCACUCUGUAGCUUGAAAUGAGGGAAGAGUAGAAGUUGGCAGCCCUGAAUCACACCAUCCUCCUGAUGAUUACCCCUCACCUGAUCGUUUUACUGAGCAGCAAUCGUAUUUUCAAGGCAACAAUAACCACAAAAUCACAGAAUCAUUAAGGUUGGAAAAGACAUCUGAGAUCAACCAACCACCAACCCAUCCCUAUCAUGCCCACUAACCGUGUCCCUCAGUGCCACAUCUAAGCCUAUUUUUUCUCCCUGUUGCAACAGCUAAAAAUGUAAGAGUUGCAGAAAUGAUCUGCAACAAGUACAGUCUUCCUAGCAGGUCAUUUAGAGGGACACCAAGACCAGAAAGAGAGAAUAGAAAGGGAUCCUCACUGCCACACUGGUUGCUUUGGCCCCCCAAAACCAAUCCCUCUGCUUUCUGAGUUCUGAAACCAUGCAUUCACUUUCAGCCUCUCCCAACAUAAAAGCAAGGGUUGUUGAAGUUAAGUGACUGUGAGUUAAAGGGGACUUUUCAAAACCCUUGCUUUCCUAUUGGGUUCUCUGCCGUCCUCUUAGCAUUCAGCGGUAAAUGAUUUAUAGCCCUCCUUUCAUGCUGGUUUGGUGUUUCCUUUGCGUGCAUAACUUCCUUUUGAUAGAAGGGGAUGAUAACAAAACCCAAAUUCUAAUCUCUUGAGCACAUGACACAUUGUCUUUGCGGUGCAGAUAGCAGGAAACUGCUCUGAUCUGGAGUUCAGUGCUUCAGCCUCCUUCCCACCCCCCAAAAUACACUCGGCGAAUUCAAAAAGCAGCACCAACAGGGUGGGCAGAGCUUUGCUUUCAGCUGUUCACUGGCCCUUUGCAUCCAGAGAGGAGCGUGCACAGCCACUCCCCAGUGGAAGUCUUGAGGUUAGUCCUAUAGUGGUGUCACCAGGGAGGGGCUGCCCUCCCUUGAGAUGCCUUUCCACCCUUGGGAGCUUCCUGCAUUUAUGCUACAGCUGUUUCCAUAAUCUCAUGGGAGCCAAAUAAACAGAUGCCAAAUGAUUUACCUUCAGAGAGUGCAGAAUGGGUGGAUAUGGGGAAGACACCAGAGUUAUGUUCAUCUAUUCUUCCCCUCCUGGGGGAUUAUAUGAGUUAUGCUUGAACCCUUCAGGAGGUAACUUUGAGAAAAUUGCCUUCCUGCAGCCAAAUUCAGAGGGUCCUGGCCGAGUGCCUGAGCAGCUCUGGGGUGGGGUUCGCUCCAUCUUGGCUCAGCUGGGGAUGUACCCUCUACAGGGCAUCGGCCAGGAGAUCAGUUCCUGAGGAUCCCCGCUUGCUCUGUGGCUCUAGCUGGGACAAAGCCACAGCACACAGUGUGGAGGCAGGGAGGGCGGGUCAGCAUCCCACAGAGAGCAAUAUCUGGCCCUGCUAUCCUCUGAGACACCUGCAUCGCCGCUCCUGAAAAUUCCCAUGAAAAAUAAUCACAGGCUGCUUUUAUGUCCCUGUAAUCGUGAACACAUUAUGCUUCCCUGCCCACUUCUAAAGAGAAAAAGUAAUUAGUCACCCCACACAAGUCUUUUGGGGUGGCACAUGUGCUUUGGUAUGUAUUCCAGCUCUGCCUACAUGGAAUGGGGACGCACAGCCCUGCUCCCUGGUUGUCUGUUAGGUGCUUCCCUUUGCGGGAGCUGGCUGCAACCUCUUGCACUUACAGCCAGCAACAUCUCCAGCAGCACUUGGUGGUGUGAUGAAC